ensembl:lncRNA
CUGAUGCUGAGUGAAAUGAGCAGGACCAGGAGAUCAUUAUAUACUUCAACAACAAUACUAGAUGAUGACCAGUUCUGAUGGAUCAGGCCAUCCUCAGCAACGAGAUCAACCAAAUCAUUUCUAAUGGAGCAGUAAUGAACUCAACCAGCUAUGCCUAGAAAAAGAACUCUGGGAGAUGACUAAAAACCAUUACAUUGAAUUCCCAAUCCCUAUAUUUAUGCCCACCUGCAUUUUUGAUUUCCUUCACAAGCUAAUUGUACAAUAUUUCAGAGUCUGAUUCUUUUUGUACAGCAAAAUAACGUUUUGGUCAUGCAUACUUAUUGUGUAUCUAAUUUAUAUUUUAAUAUAUUUAACAUCUACUGGUCAUCCUGCCAUCUAGGGGAGGGGGGUGGGGGGGUAAGAGGUGAAAAAUUGGAACAAGAGGUUUGGCAAUUGUUAAUGCUGUAAAGUUACCCAUGCAUAUAUCCUGUAAAUAAAAGGCUAUUAAAAAUAAAAAAUAAAAGAUCUGCACAAACUAAUAAAUUCACACAUCACAAUAAACCUACAAAUAGAGAAAAAUAGAUUCAACCUUGAAACAGUAAAACAUGAGAAGAGAUGAGAUAUGUAGAGGAGAACCACAAAAGAGCAGUGUCACAAAAAUCCAGGGAGAAUAGAGUAUCCUAUCAUAUAUAGGCCAUAAUAAUAAUAAUAGAAUUUAUGUAAGAUUUUAAGGUUUGCAAAGCAAUUUAUAUUACAAAUAAACUCAAUUGAUCUUCACAACAACCAUAUAAGAUAAAUGUUAUUAUAUCCAUUUUAUUAUUUCAUUUGCUAACUUUCUUAGGUUUAGUCAUUUCUUAUUCCUGUUCUUAAUCCUAGAUAUGGAAAAAAAAGUCUUUACUUAUCUAUACUGGAGAUGUUUACAUUUUUAGCUGGAAUCAUUUCCACUUUGUCUGCCGAUUCCUUUUUCUGGAUGGGAUUCUUCUUAUCUCACCCAGUUACAGAAGCCUGCUCUACAAAUCUGCUUGGAUUCUUCCAAGCUUGGUUCCAGGUCACCAUAUGUUCCAUUUCUCCCCUUUUGCCCUGAGACAUCCACAUUUAAUAAAACAGCUCAACCUUUUCCCCGUUUCCCUUGAUGAUACCAAAUAUGUUAGUCUAGUGUGAAAUUUCAAAGAACCAGAGACAAUGCUAAUCUCACCUUAACUGAUCUAAUUAUAGACUAUUACAGGCAUAUUAAGCACCAGUAGAUAUACUCACUCAUACCGAAAGGAUACAAGAUGAUCUUGUCACUUCACUGUCACUCACAAGGUUCCUGUCUUUGUCUGGUUCUCAGCACUAAAGCCACAUGUCAUCACUGUUCCCAGGAAGCUGACUAUCCAGUCACAGCCAGUCAUCUGUUAAGGAACUAUAUAGACUUAGAUAGGUAGAAAAAGAAAGGUGGAGUCUUUUGGAGAUUUUCUAGAUUUAACAAACUCCUGGAUCAUUUUAAUACAGUAUCCAAUAAAUCAAGAAUCACUUAUUAAGGGCUUACAGAUAUAAAAGAAAAACAACAUUACCUGCCCUCAAGGAGCUUACAAUAUAAUAGCUAUAGAGAGGGAAGGCUCUAGCUGCUGGGCACAACAAAAAGGGCCUCCUGCAGAAACGCAUUUUGAAGGAAGCCAGGUAUUCUAAGAGGCAAAGACAAGGAGUGAAAACAUACCAGGUAUGGAUGAGAUGUGGAGAAAAUCAGAGAAGUAAAAGAGAGAGGUCGUGUGUAAAGGAUGCAGAUGGGCCAAAAUGGCUGGGGCUUAGAGUCUAUGGAAGAGAAUAGACUGACAGGGUCGGGAGGAGCCAGGAUGCCAAACAAGAUUUAUUUGAUCCCAAAGGUAAGAGAGAGCUAGUGAAGCUUAGUAAGUAGUUCAGAUUGGUGGGAAAUAAAUCACUUUGGAAGUAGUGUGGAGGAUUGUUUGAAGGAGCCUGAGAUUUGUCAUGGGUCAUCUCCAACCCUAACUCAGAGCAUCAGGGUGCUGGCUGUGUGUGCAGAUAUCAUAUAGGUAGAAAUGACAAGGAUGUUGGAAGGAGACAGCUAAAGGAAAACAUCUUCAUUAAAGGCUAGUGAAAGGGUGAGAAUCUGGUUAACUUAGCUGGUUCCCCACACUUCUCUGUGGUCCUCUGUAUUAUGUCCGUACAUCUUGUGGGAAUCUUGCAGUUUAUGAUGUACUGUAAGUUACUUGAGAUCUUGGUCACAGAAGACACCAAAGGAAUGGGUAAUAAUGAUAUUCUGUCUUCACAAGGGCCACAUUUGGAGAUGCCUGCUUUGGUCUCUUGAUCAGACCAAAGUUUUCAGGAUUUCAACAUCUGUAGCACAAGGCUUUGUGUACAUUACUGUGGAGGCUCAGUCAUUCUGUUGUGUCGAAUCUUUAUGAUCCCCCACAGACCAUACUAUCCAUGGAAUUUUCUUGGCUGACAUGCUGGUUUACCAUUUCCUUCUCCAGUAGAUUAAGACAAAUAGAGGUUAAGUGACUUGCACAGGAUCACUUAGUAAGCAAGUAAAGGCAGAUUUGAAUUCAAAUCUUCCUGACCACAGGCCCAGUCACCUCACUGCCUCCUGUGCACUUAUUUAAUAAGUUUCAGUUAAACCCAAAAUGCUACAUCUGGAAGUAAGCCAUUUUAGAACAUAAGCUGGAAGGAUUUUUAAGGAAACUGAAACCUAGAGACAUGAUUUUUACUCAACAUCACACAGUUUGCUCUUUAAAGCACUUGCAUCUGAAGUGUAGAAUACCUGACCCACCAUAUCCACAUUACCCUUUAUGGAGUAUACCUAUUAGAAUAAAGGCAGUGAAAUGCUUGGCAAAAUUCUGAAGUCAGCCCCAUUUAAGAUUCAGGAUUUUCCCCAAUCUCCUCCCUGUUUUGUGUCUUUUUCCCCUUAGUCAGCAUUCUAAGAUUCAAGCUAUACCAAAACCUUUAUGUCAUGGCAAAAGCAGUUGGUGAACUUGGAUGAUGUUUCUACAUUGAGGAUGGCAGAAUAUCUAAGGCUUGGAGGGAGGAAAGCAAUAAUUACUGCCAAUAGUCCUAAUGAAAAAUUAGCCUCUUCCACUCUUGAGAUUGCUUUAUAGACCACAGAGAGAGCUUAUGUUUUUUUUUUUUAACUCAUUCUGUUAUGGGUUUACAUCUUAAAAUAGUUGUUGCAGAACUAUUUGUUAUGGAAACAAGGAAAAAGUAAAACAAGUGAGACCUGUUCACAAUGGAAAAAUUGGUUUCCAGAGAGCUUUUUAUUUAUCCCUCAGGAAGUUACAUGCCCAAGAAUAUCAUAGGUUGUUCAAGGUACUGGGAGUAGAAAACCCAAAGGGAUUGGGUGAUGAGCCUUUACCAAAAGGUCAGCAACAGUUGUGUCUUCUGUAAUCCCAUCUGAAUCCUUCUCUAUUGAGAUUUCACAAGGCAUUGCCUAUUAAUUUGUGGGACCCUGACUCAAGGAGAAAAUAGGGUUUGUUUGAAUGUGAUUCCCAAAAAAAGAUUUUUGAAAGAGGCUGCAAGAAAAGGGAAAUGUUUAGCCCAAAGAAUGAAUUGUUAAUGUCAUUUCAGGCAUCACUGAGGAAGGUACUGGGAGCAGAACAACCUUCUUAAUUGUUCUCCACCCAACAUCACAUAAAAGCUGCCUACAUUAGCACUGACCCUGCCUCAUCAGACUUGUCAAAGCCAAUAUUGCAGAGCUACUCAUUGUUUGGGGAUGUGAUGGGCAACAAGAAAACCUUGCUACAGUCUCACAAAUUGAUUUGCAUAAUAAGCACAUUCUAACUCUGCUUCUGCUCACAGAUAGCCUUUCCACAAAGGGACUUUAUCUGCCCCAUGUAGAGACUAUAGGAAGGCUCAGGGCCAUGCGCUUCAGAUUUAUCAUUCAUUAGUAUUCUCUCAUUUCUCCACUAAUUUUAAAUUCUAGAGCUCUACAAAGAGAGAAUAUCAGAACUCAUGGCAGCCAGUCUUCUCAGCUAGCCUUGACUUAAUAUCUAGCCACUGGAUUCCAAUGACUCUGGAGGAGAAAGGGAGAGUAAUGACUUGGCACAGCCUUGGAUUACUUAAAUUCAGCCAUCAUCCUCCUGAUGUCAUUGGUCCUCUUCCAGAAAGAAGGAUGAACAACAAAAAAAGAUUGUAAAGGCAAUGAGACUCAGAAUAACAAAAUGGGAGGAUAUAGGGCUGCCAGGCUGCCAGAACUGGGAAAACCUUGAAGGGGGAACCUUAAAAAGACAGGGCACCAAAGAUACUUUUGCUAAGGUCCAAUCCAACUGCCAGAUUUCAAAACAGCAUAUUAUUUCCUUUGGUACUUUAGAUUGUCAUACUCAACAGAGAGUAACCCAAAGUUCCUUUGUUGACUAAACAUUUUUUGGAAUGGAAAUUCAGAAUACAGUGGAAAUUUGGCAAGUAGCAAACAAAAUAAAAUCUUUCAUUCUCACCUAGUCUGCCCACAAUUAUUAAUUCGGGUACAAACAACUUUUCUUUUUUCACAAAAGAACAGAUUAUCAAACCAUCAUUUAUCUUAGUGAUGUCCUUUUGGAUCAAUCUCUAGAGUUCAAUAAUUAAAUCAUUGCUUUUAAUGGCCCAUUCAACAGCAAUUAAUUAAUAUAGAUAUUGAGUUCAGUAGUGUUAGAUGGACACUUGUUCCAUCUAACAUCAGGCCUGGUUUACAAAAUUGAAUUUGGACUUUGGGGCCAAGACUAAGAAUUCGUUUUCUCGUAGUGACUAGCAUUAGAUAAUUGUUGUUGCUCAGUGACAUCAAUCGUUCAGUCCCAUUAAACUCAAAUUUUUUACUUAAUUCAACAGGGCUUAUUUUCUCAGUGAAUCUCAUCUGGUCUUUUCUUGUUUGUUCUUGGCUGUUGUCCUCUCCUGGGGCUUAGCCUCUUAUCUGGAUCUGAGCCUGUAUAGCACUUGCCCAAUAAAUAGUGUUUCUUGGGCAGCUGGCCUCCAAGCCAGUCAUACUCCAACAGUCCUAAUUCUCCAAAAUUAAUUACUGCUAACAUACCUGGCAACCAGCAAAAACCUCCUCUUUUCAAUUUGUUACAUCCAAAGAAAGGAAAGGGAGGGUGGAAAUGAGCAUUUGCUAAGUAUCUUCUAUGUGCCAGGCUCUGUGCUUACAAAUAUCAAGCCUUCAAGAUAAGUGCUAUUAUUAUUCCCAUUUGCAGUUGAAAAAACUGAGGCAGACAGGGAUUAAGCAACUUGUCCAGAAUCAGCCAGUUAGAAUAAGCUUCUGAGGCUAGAUUGAAAAAUGGCCUUUCAUUUACCAGUUUCAGAUUCUUGAAGCCUGAUAUUCAUGUCAAUUUUGUCUCAUGUCAAUGAAUUACUUUCAUGUCAAGAUUACAUGGUAAACUUUCUAGGUGGCAAUCCCAGGUUUCCUCUCAAACAUUCAAGAAGUAUCCAGUCCAAAGCAAGGACGUUUCAACCACAUCUUCCCACCAAAGCCCUUCUGUAGGUACCAUCCUUUCAAGAGAAAAAAUAAGCCCCACCAUGAAGCUAAAUACAUCUCAGGGACAGAUAGGGACUUCUAAAGGUCCAGAGAUGUCCUCUGAAUGUUCUUUAAAGCCUGCCCUCCCAACCCCACCCACCCCAUCUCUUUUAUCACAUAAUCAUUAAUGAGAAAUAUUUAUUUAGCAUCUGCCAUAUGUGAGUCAUUGCUUUAGAUACUGGGGAUAUGUAGGGAAUAAAAUCAAGUCCCUGCCUCCAAUGAAUUCAUAAUCUACUAAAAAUAUCUCCCAUUUACAUAGUGCUUUACACUUAACAAAGCACUUUGCUCAAAACAGCCCUGUGAAUAAGUAGCCUGUCAGUCGUCACGCCCUUUUCAGAGAUGAACAUGGAGUAAUAACUUGCCCAAAGUCCCCAAACAGGAAAUCCCAGAGCCAAAGAUGAAUCUAGCUCCUGACUCUCCAUCUGGUAACCCCCACUCAAUGACCACAAUGGAAGGUUACAAGUGACUAGUGCAACGGGAGAAACAAAGUAGAAUAAGAAAUCAGAAAAGAGAAGAGACAAAUUUCUGCAUUGAUAGCCUUCCAAGGAAGAUUUCUUAAAGAAAAUGACAAAAAAGCUCGAAGAACUUGGAUGGGAUUUCUUUAGCUUGACUCGGAAGAUGGGACAUGAAAAAGGAAUUUUUUUCCACCUGGUUAAUUCUGAGCCUGGAUUUUGAUGCCCUGUGAAUAAUGUGGAACUUUGCUUUCUGAUUAAAUAUAAUUCUUGUGUGGAAUCAAACAGAUCUUAGAGAGUUUUCCCUGUGUUUGGGUUUUAGCGGGAUUACCUAGGAAUCGCAAUCAAAUGACUUGGAACCAGAAAAAUAGAUCUACUAACCUUCAGAGUUACACUGAAAAAAAGACUUAUUCCAGAAUGUCCAAGGACAGAUGAUUCCAGGGACUAGACAGCAACCUGGAAUAUCUGGGAUUCCUGAUAAAAUUUGGUUAUUAAAUGGACUUUGGGAGUGGGUUACCAAGUUGCAAGGAGAUUUGAUGUUAUUUAAUAUUGAUGAUCAUUAUUGUUUUGCUUCAGUUUUUUUUUUGUUGUUGUUUUAUGUUUACAUCUGCUGAAUUUUCAUAGUCACCUUAAUGAAAUGUUAAUUAGUCCAUGGUGAGCCCUCUAAGUCAUUUGAUCUGUAGCCUGAUUUAGUUUACCUAUAGAUUCUAUUUAACAAAGUUUGUAUCCUUAAGGAAUAUAUGAGAUUAUGACUGUUUAUAUUCUUUGUACCUUUCACCCCAUUCUUUUGCUACCUCUUAAGGUACACUAACAUUUUGUCCAGAAAUCCAUAAUAGAUAAAGUAUUUAAAUAAAUGACCCUGUGGGCUAAGAACCCCAGAAUCAAAGGUAGAAAUGCCACAUUAAAAUAGCAUGAGUAACUCCAUUUUUGCCUUUACCCACCAUUUUUAAAUUUAAGUUGCAACUUUUUGUUAGUCACCUGAUCACAGGAAAGUCAUAAGACUGGAAAGUCACAGGAUUAUCCCAUUCUUACUUCAAUGUCUCCAAAUCCCUUCCAUUAAUAAGAAAUAAGGUGGUUCAAUCCCUACAUCCUGUUUUUGUUUUGGGUUGUUUUUUUUUUCCUUCUUUAACCAUAUAUUAACUGUGUAGAAAAGUCCUGGGUCUUUGUGCAGACCAAAAGCCUUGGACCUGAUUUGUUUCUGCAACCUCAUGC